ACCACAGAAGGUAAUAGUCCUGUAUGUUAAACGAGAAGACUUUAGAUAUGAUCCAGAGUACCACGGGACACGUGAAACCCUGUGGGAAGCAGGAGGGACCACCCUCCAAGGCUAAAUACUACCUAGUGACCGAUAGCGUAUAGUACCGUGAGGGAAAGGUGAAAAGAACCCCGGGAGGGGAGUGAAAUAGAACCUGAAACCCUGCACUUACAAGCUGUGGAAGCACAUUUCUUGUGUGACCGCGUACUUUUUGUAGAACGGGCCAACGAGUUACGUUAAGUAGCAAGGUUAAGCACUUAAGGUG
rnacentral:rRNA from 1 species